CAUUGCAUGCCUGUAGUGUAGUCCUAGCUAUUUGAGAAGCUGAUGUGAAAGGAUCACUCGAGCCUAAGAGUUUGAGGCUGCACUGACCCAUGAUUCAGCCACUUCACUGACAGAUGUGUGUGUGUGUGCGUGUGUAUGUAUAAUCAAUAUGGAUGUGAAAAAAAUUCAAGCCCGGGAGAAAAGUGAAAGCCCAUAGUGGGGGAUGUGGAGAAAGGUGAGUGCGGCUCCAGCAACUCAGUGAAACUUGGUUUUCCAUCUUGAAGAAUUGCCCAUACACACUGAAACCAUAGCCUAGAACAUGCCAGUUAUCACACUACACCUGCUGGGAUACCACUAUGUACCCUUUUUUAAAAAAAUAAAAUCUUUCACCUAAGAGAAGCAGAAGAGAAAAGGAGGGUUUCACAUCUAAAGCCUUCAUUUUCUUUAUGAAACAACAGCCACUUGUCAUUUGAGUUGUCCAAAGGCGACUGACAGCACUAAUACACUUAAUGAAUCAACCAGGAAAAAUGGGCCUCUCGGGUGAGGAGGAGGCACAAUAGUAACUAAACCCAAUCCAUUCUCAGCUUUACAUGGUGCCCGUAUCUUAAGAAGUGGUGUUAGCCAUGUGAACCGUUUUCACUGGACAAGGCCAGAAGAAAGAACAUUUAGUACAACACAAUCAUGAGGCUGCAAAUCAAACUGGUAGUGGGAGCAUGCACAAGGCUUCAGUGGCUGAGACACUGGUGGCUACCCUUGGGUGUCACUUAAAACUUCGAGGUGAAGGACAUUUUUUUUCCAAUUGGCUCAGGGAAACUAAUAAACAUUAGAAUUGAAAUUUGUUUUUCUUUUCAAAAUCUCUAAGACAUAGAGGAUUCUCUAAACACUCCAAAAGACAUUCAGAUAUACAUGCAGCUGAGGACCUGCCUGCUCUGCAGAGGGAUGGCUGAGCAGCAGCCACCAGCUGUAAUAGCUUUAAACUUCUCCUCUCACAGGGACAGGCCACUCCCACACACACCGGUUACUUCAUAGGCUGUGGCCCUCAGAUGCACCUGGGGGACUCCUUUCCUCCCAUCUCAUUAGCUCUCCAAGACAGUCCAUCUCACUCUAAAAGCUACACUAGGAUGGUGAGUUGUAGACUCUCCUCCAUUCUCCCAGCGCAGUGUGACUUCCAGAGAGUGCUCCCCCAUCCUCUUACCUCAACUGAUGUGAAAAGGGCCAGUGCCUGGGCAGUUAGAUGUUCAGUGACCUCACAGGUCCAGCAUGCCCAGGGCCUGGCCCCACAGCCUGGCACCUCUCCCCUACCUGGCCUUCAUGCCGGCCUUUUCUCUUCUGUCACCAAUGUCAGGUGACAUUCACCUGUGCCACACUCUCAUGAGCGUGGUAAGUGAUGGGUGGGUAAACCCCAGCUGAGUGCCUGUGACUCUACCCUCUUACCUUUCACUCAAGUGACAUUAUAAGCAUAAUUUUACAUUUGAUUUCAUUUAUGCAUAAUCUUUUCUUAUAACAUUUCUGACAACAGCCCUCACAACCAAAGGAGACUGGGUUACAGAACACACGGGCAAGGCUGGGGUAGCAGGUUUCACUUACUUUAUUCCAAUGUGAAAUGAAGAUGUGAUGGUUUAAAACCAAGACAAAGUUGUUUAUCAGCUGUGGGGUUGCUACACUUGCUAGCUCAUGCUCACUUCCUUUGAAACAAGGAAUCUGGAGAGACUAUAUUCAUAAGUAGCUCUUUGCAAAACCCCAGGCAGAAGCCCCAGUCAGACACAGCUCCCUCAGGCUCUCAGGGCGGCAACUUCCUCCUCCAUGUUGGGCUCUGCCAGCAGGCAAGGGAAGAGCUCCCUCAGGCUCCCAGGGCGGCAACCUCCUCCUCCACGUUGGGCUCUGCCAGCAGGCAAGGGAAGAGCUCCCUCAGGCUCCCAGGACGGCAACCUCCUCCUCCAUGUUGGGCUCUGACAGCAGGCAAGGGAAGCAGCAUAGGCAGCGGGGGACAGGAAGCCACCCGGGGCCAUAGGGAUCCCCAAACGCCCCAGAGCUAUUCUCUGUAGAAAGGGCUGUGUGGCAAGGACCAGGUAUGGAGCUGGGUUCCACAGAGAGGUGACAACCACUUUGCAUCUCUAAAUUUCCCCCGGGAUCCAUGAUCCAGCCCUGCUUUUCCCCAGGCCCUUCACCCACCCUGCCCCCACUGUGUGUUAGGCAGCUCGGGUUAAAAUGGGAGAAAAAUAUAUUCAGAUUGUAGCCUCCAAGUUUUCCCAUCUGGGCUGCAGAGAGUAGGGAAGGAAGUCGGGGCCUGUGGCGGUGCCUUUUGCUGUGCCUGAGGGCAGGAAGGCCAGGGCUGGGCGGGUGGAUGUCUCCGGGACCACCACUGCUGACUCCCUCCCCCUCACCUGGAGCUACAACCAGGCCAGGCUAUCACGAUUAAUAAAACCACUGCAGCUCUCAUCCUGUCACAAAACUAAUGUGCACCCAACCCCAGCCCUACACAGAUCCCUAGCUUCCUAUCCCAGAACACAGAAAAUCCUCUUAUCUUUUUUACUUAAAACCUGGACUUUAAGCUAGAUUGGGCCUGGGGAUAGUGGCAGCAAAAGCAACAGCCAGAUGUAUACAAUCCAGAUGUAUACACUCAAGGGCACAGGCAUAUUCCACACUUGCUGAAGAAUGAGAGGCCUGAGAGGCACCUGUUUCCCAGCUGCUAACUGAUGUCCCCAUUCAUGUGUCUUCAUUUAGGCCUCUGUAUCAUGUACUUGUUCAGCCAGUGCAAACACAUCUUCUGGGGGGCAUCAUUAAUUGCAGCACCAGCCCCACUUGUUUUGGGAGGGAGUCAGGAGGAAUCUGGUCAGCUCCUAAUCCCCCAGGACAAAGGUGCUGCCCCCUUUUCAGCACUCACAUCCAGCAGCAUCAUGUUGGGAUGGUUUUUCAAACACAAGUAGCAUGAGGUAGCACGCAUGCUGUUAAAGGCUCAGGGCCACAGGCAGCCAGCUGCUGGAGAAACAGCACAGGGCAGGCACAUCUGUGGGUGGCACCAUGAUAAGCCAAGGCAGCCACAGCCCCUACCCACAACAGCCCCAGCCCAGAUGGCAUUCAAAUCUUCCCGGAUAGUAUUGGGGUUCCCGAUGCCCAUCACUCCCCUGCUCAUUAGCACUGCCUUGUGUUGGUUACUCAGGGACUAAGGAGAGAGGGUGGGGGUGUAGGUUCAGGGUGGGCACUGCCUCGCAGCCAGAGUCCACCUGACUGCAGGCCAGCAAGCAAGCCCAAGCAGCUCAGCUCUAGACACUUAGCCUCACCACCUCUGGCUACAUUUUCUAUGUAUACUUUAUGCAAAGGUAGAAAAAGAGGUCAGUAUUAGCUGUUGUGACAUAAAAGUCUAUGCCCCAUUAAGACCUUCUUAAAAUGCUGUUGUCUUAAGCCCUCUUUCUUCUAAUAAAAUUUAUACAAAUACACACAUACAAGCUGAAACUACUAUAAAUGAAAUAUUAGGAUUUUUUAAACCCAUAAGCAAACACUAAAACAGUCACUGUUUGAAUGCAGAGAAAGUGGGAGUCUAAAGCAGCUGACCCCAAAACAGCCUUACCAAGCCCAAGGCCAGGCCAGGCAGUCUGAACACUACGAGGUCACGUGAUGGUCACAGAGGAUGACAGCUCCCAUGAGUAUUCUCAGGCACUGUGUUAGCUUCUCACUCACAGAGUCUCAGAAUGCCUCCUCACCAAUACCCUGUGAGGGAAGGCCCCACCUCACUAGAGCACAAGAGGUUCCUGAGCUCUUCCCAGAAAAUGGUUAUCAAAGGGUGGAGCUGGGGGAAGCCCAGACAGAACAAGUGAGUCCCCAGGGUCUCCUUAACCUCCCUCAGCUCCUCCACAUGCGGCCCUGAGGGAAAGUGAGCGGCCUCCUAACCCCUUUGAUAGGGUUCCAGUACUGCAGGUCUGGACUUCCUUAUUUUCUGGAAUCAUAGGAGGUGACAAUGCAAACCCAGGCCCCUUAUUUGCCAUCCCUCAAUGCCAGGCCAGGCCCAGAGCCCUGUGCUGACACAGCCCAGGGGAUGCUCGAAACCCACCUCAGCACAGUCACCAAUAGCAUAGUGAGAUGAGCAAGGAGGUGCAAGUAGGCACAAAUCCCCAUGGACAUGGCCUCAGGCAUGUUCCACAGGCUCAGGGUCUCCCUGAUGAGCUCCCAGCCCUCCUUCAGGGAGCCUGCAGAGCACACCCCCAGGGAGCAGUGCUCAGAUGAGCAGGCAGACCCCAGAUCCCCCACCCCAGGAUGCUCUGUUCCACUUUGCAGGGCUGCUGCAUUCGCCAGUCCCCACUGCUUUCUGGUGGGAUGUUUGAGUUGAAGUGAAUGUUGAAGGGCAUACAGCUGACGGAGCUGACUGCCUUGCAGAAGUUGUAAAUCACCUCCUGGCUCCACGGGUCAGCUGUGGAGACACAGCUUGAUUGGAGGUAGCCCCCCUCUACCAUCAGUGGUGCUGGGCUGCCCUGAUCUGCACCUUCCAGCUCCUUGCUGAGAUGUCUUCAUGCUUCUCUAAGGGACUGGGUCACGAGACACCCCUGGGAAGGCCCAGCUGGCAGAAUAGGCUGGACACUCUCCCUCAGCCUCCCCAGCAGCCCGGCCUGUGCUGUCACCUGUGCUGAUGAUCUCACUUCUCUAUCUUAAUAACAGCACUGAUAACUUUUAAGCCCUAGCAAGCUGAAACUGCAAGACAAAUGAUCUUCUGCCUUAGAAGGGCUAUGGUUGGGCAGUGUGUGCCCAGGUGAGAGCCCUGUGGUUGUUAGUAGAAAUAGGGAGCUGGAUGGGCCUGGCCCCAUAGCCUAGUGGAAAGUAGGGCCCUCUCCUUCCAGAGCAUCAAAGUCUUAGAGGCUAGAAAAAGGUGCUUGGGUGGGCUGCCAAGAAGCAGAAGGCUAGAAGGCUUUGCAAGGAACCCCAACAGACUUCAAGGUGCCUGAGAGGGCUGGGCUUAUUCCAGCUUUCUUUGCUUUCAUCCUGUUAGCAAGAAAACCUGCUCACAGAUGGCAGGUGGGCCUGAGGCUGCCAGUCACUCACCAGGGGCUAUAGGUGCCUUGAUUGUGGCUGUUUCUUGAAGCAGCUGCUCAGGCCGGUUAUUGCAGAGCAGUUCCCUCAUUAUCCACAGGUCCUUGUUCCAGCCCUGGCUCUGCAAAGGGACUAGGGAGGGACUAGGCAAGGGCUCAGCCUGUGCCCCACAACCUGCUCUGAGAUAUCUCUUUUGUUACUUCCUCAUGGACAGCCUCAAACUUCCAAAUGAACAGACCAGCAUGGAGCCUCCAGGAAAGUGCAUAGAAUUCUGUCUGGUACCCAGAGGGAAGGGGGUUCCCAGUGAGGGCAGGACCAGGCUUCAUGCACCUCUUCAGGAAUGUUCUCCUCAUAGUCCAGCCUCAAGACCCAGAACGAGUGGCAUCCCAGGAGCCUGUGAGGGGCUGGCAGAGACUUACUGGUUCCAGUAAAAGCCCCAUGUGGAUGCAGUAAUGCUGCCUGCUGGUCCUUGGCUGUAAUUACAAACAGAUGGCACCAAAAGCGAAGGAAGCUCCUGCUCCUCCUAAAGCCAAAGCCAAAGCGAAGGCUUUAAAGGCCAAUAAGGCAGUGUUGAAAGGUGUCCACAGCCACAUGCAAAAAGAAGAUCCACAUGUCACCCACCUUCAGGUGGCCCAAGACACUGUGACUCCAGAGGCAGCCCAGAUAUCCUCGGAAGAACACCCCCAGGAGAAACAAGCUUGACCACUAUGCUAUCAUCAAGUUUCCGCUGACCACUGAGUCGGCCGUGAAGAAGACAGAAGAAAACUACACACUUGUGUUCAUUGUGGAUGUUAAAGCCAACAAGCACCAGAUCAAACUGGCUGUGAAGAAGCUCUAUGACAGUGAUGUGGCCAAGGUCACCACCCUGAUUUGUCCUGAUAAAGAGAAAAAGGCAUAUGUUCGACUCGCUCCUGAUUAUGAUGCUUUGGAUGUUGCAACAAAAUUGGGAUCAUCUAAACUGAGUCCAGCUGGCUAACUCUAAAUAUAUGUGUAUCUUUUCACCAUAAAAAAAUGUUUUUCAUAAGAGUGACAACUUAAUUAGAAUCAAAUCUAUAAGCUUUAAGAUUUUAUGUUUCUAGUAAUUAUAAUAUUAGCUUAUUUGACUAGAACUCAAGCAGAAUGGGAAUUUAUGCUUGUUUUAUAUUCAAUAGUGAUAACUUUGAAGAUAUAGUUGUUUUAUUAUACCAAAAAUAUUAUAUUAAUCUUAUUUAACUAAGUUUUAUCCAAAUCGUGUUAACUUAAAAAACAUUUGAUCAGUUCCUAUAUUUCUAGGAGUUUGCUGAAUAUUUAUUUAUAAAUGCUUAUUUUUUUCCAAGCCAAGUUAGAAUAGAGCACUUUUAGAGGACUUUAUAAAUGAAUUUUGCAAUGCUCUCCGGAGUUAAGAAUAUAUCACAUAUACAUAACAUACUUUAACAGAUAUACAAACACAAAUAGAGAUUUCAUAGCUUUCAUCCUGAAAUUUCAGACAUGAAUCAGGCAUAAAUAUUCUGAUGGUUAAUUUUAGGCAUCUACUUGAUCGGAUUAAGAGACACACAUAGCAGGGGGGUGAGGCGCCCCCCGCGAUGCGGGGUGUAAGAGCCAGCCCCUCUUCCCCCCUGGCUCUUAGGACCCCCAUCGCAGGGGGGUGAGGAACCCCCCAUGAUGCGGGGAGUAAGAGCCAACCCCUCUUCCCCCCCUGGCUCUUAGGACCCCCAUCGCAGGGGGGUGAGGCACUCCCCGCGCUGCGGGGAGGGCUCUGAGACUGGGGUCUGGGCUGUUCCGGACUUCAACACUCACCCCUUGUCCCCCCGCAGGGCUAUGGUGUGUGCUCGGUGGGGCUGGAGUGGCUGGCUUACCUCCUCGUGCCUUACAGCCUGGGCGCCUCAGCCACCUCACUCCUGGGCCUGCUGGGCCUGUGGCUGCCACGCCCUGUGCCCCUGGUGGCUGGAGCAGGGGUGCACCUGCUGCUCACCUUCAUCCUCUUUUUCUGGGCCCCUGUGCCUCGGGUCCUGCAACACAGCUGGAUCCUCUAUGUGGCAGCCGCCCUUUGGGUUGUGGGCAGCUCCCUGAACAAGACUGGACUCAGCACACUCCUGGGAAUCUUGUAUGAAGACAAGGAGAGACAGGACUUCAUCUUCACCAUCUACCACUGGUGGCAGGCUGUGGCCAUCUUCACCGUGUACCUGGGCUCGAGCCUGCACAUGAAGGUGAGACUGGGCAGGGUUGGGGGCCCCAUGCCCAAUGACAGGUACUUCCUUAGCCCCUGCCCUGGCUUCACAGCUUCCUAAACGCCACCCCUUCCCAAGCCAGUCUCUGGGCCAAGCCUCAUUCCUGCAGCCCACUGGGUGGCCCUCAACUCAGCAACCCACUUACUGGCCCACCUCCAGCCAGUCUCAGUUUGCCCAUCUCUGAGG
rnacentral:lncRNA from 1 species